rnacentral:rRNA from 1 species
CUANACAUGCAGUCGAACGCUUCUUUUUCCACCGGAGCUUGCUCCACCGGAAAAAGAGGAGUGGCGAACGGGUGAGUAACACGUGGGUAACCUGCCCAUCAGAAGGGGAUAACACUUGGAAACAGGUGCUAAUACCGUAUAACAAUCGAAACCGCAUGGUUUUGAUUUGAAAGGCGCUUUCGGGUGUCGCUGAUGGAUGGACCCGCGGUGCAUUAGCUAGUUGGUGAGGUAACGGCUCACCAAGGCGACGAUGCAUAGCCGACCUGAGAGGGUGAUCGGCCACAUUGGGACUGAGACACGGCCCAAACUCCUACGGGAGGCAGCAGUAGGGAAUCUUCGGCAAUGGACGAAAGUCUGACCGAGCAACGCCGCGUGAGUGAAGAAGGUUUUCGGAUCGUAAAACUCUGUUGUUAGAGAAGAACAAGGAUGAGAGUAACUGUUCAUCCCUUGACGGUAUCUAACCAGAAAGCCACGGCUAACUACGUGCCAGCAGCCGCGGUAAUACGUAGGUGGCAAGCGUUGUCCGGAUUUAUUGGGCGUAAAGCGAGCGCAGGCGGUUUCUUAAGUCUGAUGUGAAAGCCCCCGGCUCAACCGGGGAGGGUCAUUGGAAACUGGGAGACUUGAGUGCAGAAGAGGAGAGUGGAAUUCCAUGUGUAGCGGUGAAAUGCGUAGAUAUAUGGAGGAACACCAGUGGCGAAGGCGGCUCUCUGGUCUGUAACUGACGCUGAGGCUCGAAAGCGUGGGGAGCAAACAGGAUUAGAUACCCUGGUAGUCCACGCCGUAAACGAUGAGUGCUAAGUGUUGGAGGGUUUCCGCCCUUCAGUGCUGCAGCUAACGCAUUAAGCACUCCGCCUGGGGAGUACGACCGCAAGGUUGAAACUCAAAGGAAUUGACGGGGGCCGCACAAGCGGUGGAGCAUGUGGUUUAAUUCGAAGCAACGCGAAGAACCUUACCAGGUCUUGACAUCCUUUGACCACNCUAGAGAUAGAGCUUCCCCUUCGGGGGCAAAGUGACAGGUGGUGCAUGGUUGACGUCAGCUCGGGUCCGGAGAGUUUGGGUUAAGUC